rnacentral:lncRNA from 1 species
GCUCACUGUUCAGGAAAUGAUCCGCACAGUGGCGAACAAAUUGGGUCAGAGAGUGGCCUUCAAAUUCAAAGCUGCCAAGCGUUCGGAGGGCAAGAGUGAUGCUGCCCACAUCGCUGGCCUCAGGGAGGGUCGUGAGGCCAGGAGAGGCCAGCUGAUGGGCCAGGCCCUUGGGCAUGCCUGGGUGGCGAAGGGGUUUGUGCAUAAGGACCAGGG